rnacentral:rRNA from 1 species
AUGUCCUCAUCAUGCGAGGUAGGCAACGAGGUCCUCCAUGGUGAGCAACCUCCGUCAACUUCGUUGCCUCAUAGGGGGGCAGGCCGCCACAGCCCUGCCGUGCCGCCUCCCACGCCGCACCGCCGUGGUGCAUCUCCACCCCCACCUCGCAUAAAACGACCACCUGUGCAACUCCUGCCCCGAGGCAGGGUCUCCGUCGGCACCUCGAUGGCACCACCUUCAACCCCCCUCCCCCUCUCCUCUGCAACCAUCGUGGAGGUUGGGUGGGACGUGAAGACGAGAAGGUUUGGGAAGAGCUGA